GCGCCUGUAGCUCACCGGAUAGAGCGCAUGCCUGCGGAGCAUGAGGCAGCAGGUUCGACUCCUGCCAGGCGCACCA
rnacentral:tRNA from 1 species